CAGCAGCCGCGGGAAUACGUAGGGUGCAAGCGUUAAUCGGAAUUACUGGGCGUAAAGCGUGCGCAGGCGGUUAUAUAAGACAGAUGUGAAAUCCCCGGGCUCAACCUGGGAACUGCAUUUGUGACUGUAUAGCUAGAGUACGGCAGAGGGGGAUGGAAUUCCGCGUGUAGCAGUGAAAUGCGUAGAUAUGCGGAGGAACACCGAUGGCGAAGGCAAUCCCCUGGGCCUGUACUGACGCUCAUGCACGAAAGCGUGGGGAGCAAACAGGAUUAGAUACCCCCGUAGUCCCUGUCUCUUAUAC
rnacentral:rRNA from 1 species